AUAAAUCUUUUUAAAAGUCAUUAAAAAAAGAACCCAAAGUGACAGUUUUCCUUUUCAAAGUUGUUUUUAUUGCAACUGAUCCGCCACAGUGUAGGAAAAGACAAUU
rnacentral:snoRNA from 1 species